UACGUAGGGGGCAAGCGUUGUCCGGAAUCAUUGGGCGUAAAGCGCGUGUAGGCGGCCCGGUAAGUCCGCUGUGAAAGUCGGGGGCUCAACCCUCGAAUGCCGGUGGAUACUGUCGGGCUAGAGUGCGGAAGAGGCGAGUGGAAUUCCUGGUGUAGGCGGUGAAAUGACGCAGAGUAUCAGGAGGAACACCAAUUGCGAAGGCAGCUCGCUGGGGACGUGACUGACGCUGAGACGCGAAAGCGUGGGGAGCAAACAGG
rnacentral:rRNA from 1 species